rnacentral:tRNA from 1 species
GGGCAGGUAGCGCAGUGGUCGACGCGCCCCCCUUCAAGGGGGUCUGACGCCGGUUCGAAUCCGGUCCUGUCCA